GAUUGCAUUUUUAGCAGCAAGUCCGCUGGAGGUGGGAGUCGCUCCGGGAAGCUUCUAGGGCCGUCAGGGCCCAUUCCCUCCGCUAACACCCCUCUCUCCCCAACCCUCAGGUUGCGCAAGACCUCUCCGGCCAGGCGGACCCCUGGGGCGGGCUCAGCAGUCCUCCUCCACGCUCAAGAUGCAGUUUGAUGUAUCCGUAGAGGACGCAGUUUCAAGUUUCUCCGGAUAGAGAAGCGAAAGAGGAUCCGAAACCGCGCUUCACGUUGCUCUGGAAGAAAGCAGAAGCGCGGGGUUGAGGGCGCAGACCUGGGCAGAGGAGAGGCGCGUAGGUCUGCCGGGACGCAGCGCUGGGCGCGCGGUGGCGCACUCGUGGCCUGACGCAUCCGCGAGACUGCACGCGGCCACGCGGGGGCCCGGAGCGGGCUGGGGCGUGCGCGGGCAGCGUCGAGUGGGCCCCUUGGGGGUGGGGAUGGGGGUGAGGGGCAGUCGAACUAGGGAGAGAGUCUGUGGAAGGGCUCAGUUGUCACUUCACACCUUUCCCCGGUGUUUAUUGAUCUUUAACUCUCUCUGUCUCUCUCUGUUCCCUCUCCCCUCCCCUCCCCUCUCCUCUCCUCUCCUCUCCUCUCCUCUCCUAGCUCUAGUCUCCUCUCCUCUCCUCUGCUCUGCUCUGCUCUCCCUCCCCCCCCUUCCUGUCCACCCUUUGGGGUCAUCUCUUCCAAGAAACCACCCGUCUCUCCCAGCCCAUAGGAAAUUGUCUCUCCUGUGAGCUUAUCCAGCCUCAGCGGUUCUCAUCCAUGCCGAUACCGGUCGCUUGUGGAACCCUGUAAGAGUUCCUCCCUCUCCCUGUAAAAUGGGGAUAAGGUGGGUGAUGCUGAGGCCAGCGCCGGGCACACUCACCUUCACCUUCUUCCUGAGAGAGGAAGGAGCCUGGAGACCUGGAUUCUACCUCUGCCCCCAACCCCCACCACAGGCUAGCCCUGCCACCACCUGCUGGUUCUUUGGGCAAGUCACCCCUUCAUUGUACUUCCAUUUCCUCAGCUCCAAAAUGAAGGAGGUGAGUCCAGUGUGGUGGCACCUGUAGUUCCAGCUACCUGGAGGCUGAGGCAGGAGGAUCGUUUGAGCCCGGGAGGUGGAGGUUAGAGUGAGCGGAGAUCUUGCCACUGCACCCCAGCCUGGGCAACACAAACACAGCAAGACCCUGUCUUUAAAAAAAAGUCAUAAAAAAUAGAAAUAAAAUGAAGGAGGUGAACAAUUCAGGAAUUUUGUAUGAAUGCCAUAAUGACCACAUUAGAAGGAAGUAGCUUUCCUCCUCUCUUUUUUUCAAUCUUGUGCAGAUUUUCUUCUAAGCCCCAGCUUCCCCUCUGCCCUCUGCCCCCUCCUCCCUCCCUACCAUCCUCCAGCUCCCCAAAGCCCUCCCAAUUUGAGCCUCCUUUGGAAAACAUCUCUGAGGAUGGUACUGUGGGUAUCGGUGACUAAAGGGCUCCAAGGACACCCCUCUGGGGGAUUUCUGAAAUAAUGAGGAAGUCCAUUUCCAAAGUCACAGGAAAUCCCAACUGGGCCUCCCAGACAGUUGGCCACUGAGUCUGUCCCUGAAGGAUCUGCUUGACUUGCACAGUCUUAAAGGCAUCAUGUCGGGUUUUUUAACAUAAUUUCAGUUAGUAGCCAACAGUUCAGAUCAAGGGAUCACACGGCCUGUUUGAGCUGUUCUUGCAGGGUCACGCAUGCUCCACUGAGCCGUGGGAAGUGUCCACAGCCAGCCAUGGGAGCCCUGUGGGUUCUGAAGCUGACAUUUCUGCUUUAGGUGCCUUAAGCUGAAGAAAUGCAUAGUAGAAGGAAUUGGAGUGCAGGUGGACCUCCCUUUCUCUCCUGGCCAUCUGAGGAUGUGCACAACCCCGUGGAAGUGAGCUCCCCUAAUAAAAGCCUGGACUCAUCACACUGGCGCUUCGUGCUUCUCUCCUUGGAAUCCCAGCAAGCCCCCUUCAGGAUGAUUCAGGAAGCUGGAUUUUCUUCAAUCAAAACAAUAUAUUGCGGGGCACAGUGGCUCACACUUGUAAUCCCAGCAGUUUGGGAGGCUGAGGCGGACGGAUCACCUGAGGUCAGGAGUUCAACACCAG